rnacentral:lncRNA from 1 species
AGAAUAUCAGCAAAGAGAUAGAAAUUAUAAAAUGUGGCCGACUGCCACUACUACUACUUGAGACCGUCAUUACAGCAGUUACUGCUGUUACUGCUUGAGACUGUCAUUACAAGACUGAAUGAACGGACGAACAUAGAAAUCAUAACAGAAAACAAAAGUAACUAUUUUAAGGAAAGGCUAGCAUGGGGAAGAAGAGAGCUCCCUGCUUCUAGUGAGGAAAGGCAGCCCCUGAGCUUCCACAACCCUUCUUAUUUAUUGGGUAACAAGAGCAAGAAGGAGGAGGUAACGAUUGGUCAGCUGCUUAAUUGACCACAGGUUCAUAUUGUUACUGACAGGCUUCAAUUAUGCCUCAUUAUAAGAAACAUUUGUGCGGCCUCCAACAGCUGCAAACAGUCAACAAAAUUACAAAGGAAGAGAGCAAGAAAAGAAAAGGACUAAAGAGCUACAAGACAGACAGAAACAACUAAGAAAAGGCAAUUGGAAUGCAGAGCACAAGGUUCCAUCUUGAAAAAAGAGAAUGGCCUCACCAGACACCACACCUGUGGUACCUUGACCUCGGAUUUCCCAGUCCCCAGAACUGAUAUUCCAUGGAAGAUUGUGCUGAUUUCCUCCUCAUAAUUUUGCUUAAAAGUGGAAAUGGACUUUACAUACGCUUAAAUAUCUCUGCAUAUGGACUAUUUGGAAAUUUACCUGUAUCUACCUUGAACUUAUCAAAACAACUUUGAUACCUGUGAUUAUAACAGGAUAAUGAUGAAUUUAUUUAAAUUUACUAAGCAUCCACAAUGUGUCAAGAAUCAUGUUUGACUCUGUAAUGUGCUUCAGAAGUAUACUUAUUUCCUGUCUUCUGUGGAGAGGAAUUUUUUUUUCAAUUUUUGUUAAGCUACAUACUUUCAACUCAAAGCACAUAAUUUUUGUCAAUAAGAUCAUCACUCAAUUUUCAAUAUUUUUGUUCUUUUUAAUGUCUACAGUUUUAGUUAAAGUAAAUUUAGCUGUGGAUAAUUAUGCCCCAAUAUUGUGUUCCAGCAGGGUUAAUCAAAAGUAACAUUUGCCCCAGUGAAAAGGCAUUGUUCAAUGCCAGUUUAUUCACUCUUAAAAUAACUUAGUGUUUUAUUUUUGGAUUUGGUGAACAAGUGAGUUUUUGGUCAUACAUUCAUGUAUUCUGAGUUGAUUAAGAGUUAAUUGAUAGAAAUAAGAUAAGUAGGUUUUACUAAGCGAGAAAUUUUAUCCAUACUCUUUACUUCAAAAUGCUUUUUAUUCUUUUAUCAACUUCAGCUAUUUGUUAGAACAGAAGUUUUCAACCCUGUCUGCUCAUUAGAACUGCCUGGAAAGUUUUAAAUAUUCAGAUGCUUAGGCUAUAAAAGAGACCAAUUAAAUAAUAAUUUAUUUAAAAAUCACAAGCCUUAUGGUGAUUGCAAAUGAAAAAGCAUACAACAGAUAUACAAAAUAUAAAAAGCAAGAAAUCAAAUAACACCAGAGAAAAGGGAAAUAAGAAGAAAUGAAAGAGGAAUGAGAAGACCAUUAAACAACUAGAAAACAAAUAACAAAUGGUGGGAGUAAGUCCUUACUCAUCAGUAAUGAAAUUGAAUAUAAAUGGAUUAAACACUCCAAUCAAAAGACGCAGUGAAAAGACAAACCACAGAAUGGGAGAAAAUAUUUGCAAAAUAAUCAUUUGACAAGGGAUUAAUGACCAGAAUAUAUAAGGAGCUCAAACAACUCUAUAGGAAAAACUUCUAAUAAUCUGAUUUAAAAAUGGGCAAAAUAUUUGAAUAGGCAUUUCUCAAAAGAAGACAUACAAAUGGCAAUCAGGCAUAUGAAGAGGUGCUCAACAUCAUCGAUCAUCAGAGAAAUGCAAAUCACAACUACAAUGAGACAUCAUCUCGCCCUAGUUAAAAUGGCUUUUAUCCAAAAGACAGCCAGUAACAAAUGCUGUUGAAGCUGUGGAGAAAAGGUAAUGCUCUUUCGCUGUUGGUAAGAAUGUAAAUUCAUACAACCACUAUGAAGAGCAGUUUGAAGUUUCCCCAAAAAAUAAAAAUAGAGCUACUAUAUGAUUCAGCAGUCCUGCUGCUGAAUAUGCAUCCAAAAGAAAGAUAUAUCAAAAAGAUAUCUGCCCUCCCAUGUUUAUUGCAGCACUGUUCACAAUAGCCAAGUUUGGAAGCACCUUUAGUGUCCAUCAACAGAUGAUUAGAUAAAGUAAAUAUGGUACAUAUAUACAACGGAGUCCUAUGCAGCUAUAAAAAAGAAUAAAAUCCUGUCAUUUGCAACGACAUGUAGGAAACUGGAAGUCAUUAAAUGUUAAAUGAAUUAAGUAAGACACAGAGAAAAACUUCAUAUGUUCUCACUUAUUGUGGCUGCUAAAAAUUUUGAAAAAGCAAAACAUUGAACUCAUGAAUAUAGACGGGAGAAGGAUGGUUACCAGAAGCUAGGAAGGGUUGUGUGGGGGUGAGGGGAAAGCAAGUGUUAUGGUUGGGCUUUGUGAUCCCACCCAAAUCUCAUCAGGGAUUGCAAUCCCCACCUGUCAAGGGAGCGACCUGGUGGGAGGUGAUUCCAUCAUGGGGGCGGUUUCCCCUACGCUAUUCUUGUAAUAGUGAGUUAGUUCUCAUGAGAGCUGAUGGUUUUAAAGUAUGGCAGUUCUCCCAUCACUAUCUCUGUCUCCUAAAGUCAUGUAAGAUGCACCUUGCUUCUCCUUCACAUUCUGCCAUGAUUGUAUGUUUCCUGAGGACUCUCCAGCCAUGCAGAACUGUGAGUCAAUUCAACCUCUUUAAAUUGCCCAGUCUUUAAAUAAACAUCUUUAAAUUACCCAGUCUCAGGUAGUAUCUUUAUGAAAGAGUGAAAAUAGACUAAUACAGCAGGGAUGGUUAAUGGGUGCUAUAUAUAUAGUUAGAAAGAAUGAAUAAUAUAUACUAUUUGAUAGCACAACAGGAUGAUAGUCAAUAAUAGUUUAAUUGUAUACUUAAAAAAAACCCUAAAAGUGUAAUUGGAUUGUUUGUAACACAAAGGAUAAAUCUUGAGGGGAAAAAUCCUUCUGUUUUCUAUGAGGUGAUUACUGUGUAUUGCAUGCUUGGUAUCUCACUUGCCCAAUAUAUAUACCCACCUACUAUGUGCACAUGACACUUAAAAAAAAUCUAAACCCUAAAAAGAAAAUCUCCAAGUGAUUAUAAUAUGUAGUCAAAAGCCAGGGAUCUACAACUGCAGUGUCUAAUAUGGUAGCCACUAAUUAUCUAUUAUUUCAUAUUUAAUUAUUGUAUACUACUACUUAAAAUUAAAUAACUUUAAAAUUCCAUUCCUGAGUCACACUAGACACAUUGUUCCAUGGCCAUAUAUGGCUGGUAAGUACCACAUUGGCACCCAGAAUUAUAGAUGAUUUCUAUAUAUUUAUUUAUUUUUUCAGACAGGUUCUUGUUUUGUUGCCCAGGCUGGAAUGCAGUGGUAGGAGCACAGCUCACUGCAGCCUCAACCUCCUGGGCCCAAGUGAUCCUCCCAUCUCAGCCUGCCAAAGUGUUGAGAUUACAAGUAUAAGCUGCUGUGCCUGGCCAGAAGAUUUCAAUCACUGCAAAACUUGUAUUGGAAAGUGCUAAUAAAGAAUUGAUUUUCAGUGAAUGGUCUGUAUUCCAUCAUCAUUGGCCUUACAUAAAAGUUUGUUAAAAAUGCAGAUAAUUACUAUGAUCAUUAAUAUUUGAGAAGUUCAUUAAAAGUGCUCUAAUUUACUAAUAAUGAAUUUAUUUAUUUUAUGUUUUUAUUUUUAUUUUGAAACAGAGAGUCUCGCUCUGUUGCCAGGCUGGAGUGCAAUGGCACAAUCUUGGCUCACUGCAACCUCUGCCGCCCAGGUCCAAGCGAUUCUUGUGCCUCAGCCUCCCGAGUAACUGGGACCACAGCUCUGCACCACCACUCCUGGCUAAUUUUUUGUAUUUUUAGUAGAGAUGAGGUUUCACCAUUUUGGCCAGGCUGAUCUUGAACUCCUGGUCUCAAUUGAUCCGCCCGCCUCAGCCUCCCAAAGUGCUGGGAUUACAGGCGUGAGCCACUGUGCCUGGGCUGACAAUGAAUUCAAAUAACAGAUUUCGCCAAAUGUUUGAUGCUUUAUGUCUUAAUGAUAUCAAAUUAUAUGUUAUUAAUUCAUUUAUAAAUAUUAAUCCAAUAUUAUUUAUUGAGCACCUACAAUUGGCCAGGCACUAUGCUGGGCACAUAGAAACAAAAUAAAAAUGGUCUAGGAUUUAUUUUGGAAUAGUAUAGAAAUUAGAAUAAUAACAAUAAAGAUAUUUAGAUAAAUUAGAUAGAAAGAAACACAUUUUUUCUAAAUGCUAUGAAGGAAGAAGUUACAGAGAACAAUUGGGAAGUAAAGAGAUACAAGAGAAGAUUGUCGGGACUGUUAAAAUGAUAACAUUAAAUGUAAGAACCAAAGAAUAAAAGAGUCAGAGAGGAUAAUUCAGAACAUUGCUUACUCAUGAGUAGGUUUCAUCUGUGACCAUCCAUAGAGAUUGUGAACAUCGUAAUGCAAAACUGAUGUUCCAUCACUAAGAAUCUGCUCAGCUUCCAUGCAAAUUGUUCUGAAAUGUAAUCCAUCAGUUCUUUUUGUGAGUUCUGGAAAGAAUCAAUGAAAAAAUAUUAAUAUAUUAUACAGUGCCCUACAAUGAAACGUGUAACUCAUAAUUAUGUAUUCCUUGACAAAGAAAUUAAUCAGUGUUUUAUAAAACCUAUGUAUAUUUUAACCAUUUGUAUACUUUGUAUGAGUUAAUUAUCAACUUAAAAUGGCCUGAAAUUGUAACUGAAUUACAUGAAUUAAUAAAAACCUGA